rnacentral:lncRNA from 1 species
AAGAUCUGUUGUUUCGCUCGGUCCAGAUCACCCACCAGUAGAGAUGUCAACGGGUCGGAUUCGGGGCGGAUUUUUAAAAACCCGAACCCGAACCCGACUCCAAACCCGAGACCCGAACCCGAACCCGAACCCGAACCCGAACCCGACGGAUUUUAAAAAUCCAUAUCCAAAUCCGAACCCGACCAAAAAUUUGAAACCCGAACCCGAACCUGAAAAUUUGAAACCGAAAUAAUUAUUUCUUUUUUCAAUAUUUCAAAAUAUAUUAUAUUAAAUCUAAAUUUUUAAAAUACAAAUUCAAAUAUAAUAUCAUAUAUAUAUAUAUAUAUAUAUAUAUAUAUAUGAUAUUAUAUUUGAAUUUGUAUUUUAAAAAUUUAGAUUUAAUAUAAUAUAUUUUGAAAUAUUGAAAAAAGAAAUAAUUAUUUCGGUUUCAAAUUUUCAGGUUCGGGUUCGGGUUUCAAAUUUUUGGUCGGGUUCGGAUUUGGAUAUGGAUUUUUAAAAUCCGUCGGGUUCGGGUUCGGGUUCGGGUUCGGGUUCGGGUCUCGGGUUUGGAGUCGGAUUCGGGUUCGGGUUUUUAAAAAAUCCGCCCCGAAUCCGACCCGUUGACAUCUCUAUGUAUCAGUGUGUACUCCUCGUCUUCGUUGGCUUGCGGUACCCACUGGGAGGGGAGAUAUGUUUAUAUGUUCUCACCCCCCACCAUUUUUCAGGUGAUGCGGGCGAUGAGGGUUGUGACGAGGCGUGAGACACAUUAGUAGCGAUCGAUAGAGCUUCUGACCUGAUUGAAUUGGUUUAGUUUCUAUCCUUACUUAUUCAAAAUAAAUAACUUAGACAUUUAUGGUUUAGUGGUUUUAUUUCGGUUGAAUGUUUAUGGAUUUAUAAAGUUAAAUAUUAUGGCUUUUAUAACUGGUUGUGAGUUGUAAAAAUAAUUUUCUACCCAUCGUGAUAGUGUCUUUAAAGAAAAGGUUUCCGAGUGGAAAAUAGUUUUAAAAGAGUUUUCUUGUGGAAAUGUAUUAGUAUGUUGUGUAGUGAAUGAUUGUGGUUGUACUUGUGCUUGUGCGAUGUCGUGCAAAUACAGGGGAUGCUCUGUCCGUUUGAACAAUGGGUCUC